rnacentral:sRNA from 1 species
ACAUAUAAUUAAGACAAAUAACAAACCAAACAAAUUUACAAGAACCACGCGAUCAAAUGAUAACACAAAUAAUUUCAAAAGAAUUAAGAGAAUAAUAUGACAAUUAUCAGGGAUCGCUAUGGUGUAGGGCUAGGGCGACCUUGCUCAUCCCCCACUCGAUUGUAUAUUUUCAAAAGGUGGGACACGACGAUGAUCAUGUUCUCAUUUCCAUCUCAAUUCGUCAACUAAGCAAAGAGUAGUUUGUUUUCACUUCCCGUAAAAUAGCUUUUGAAAAAAGCUAUCUUAACUUUUAUUUGAAAACUAAUUUUAAAAGCAUUUUCUUUUUUGGAAUUAUUUUUGAAGGAAGUUAUGUUUGAUCAAUUUCCUCUAAAAUUACUUCUAGUUACAAGAAAUUAUUCAUAAAAUUACUCAAACAAAUUCUAAAAUAAUUUUUGAAUUUCAAAAAAUCCUUUUAACUUUUUCAAACGUCAUGCCAAAUGGCAUGCAUGUCUUUUAAUCAUUAUACAAUCUAUACUAAUUGAAAACUACAUUGAUCCUAUAUUUUCUGAAUCAGCGAAAAAAGAAAAAAGAUCUACUUUGAGUCGAAGCAUCCAAGAGGUUGAUGUGAUUAGCACCUCUCAUUGGCACCCUAUCACUC